AAAUCGGAAAAAAAAUCGUCACUCGUCAGACGCCAUCUUGUUGUACAAUACACAUUCAACGAGAGCUGUGUUUAGGUUAAAGAUUACAAUUUAUUUAUGUUCUUAUUAACAAUACUGAUUGUGAAUUUAUGUGCUUAAGUAUGUCGUUAUUUUGAUAAACAGUGCGUGACGUGCUUAAUAUUGCUAUAAUUCGUUAGGUGCUGUCGCGAAAAUCAUGAGUGUGAUAAUAAGACUGCAGAACCUUCCUUGGUCAGCGAAUGCGCUAGACAUUAGGAAUUAUUUCCGUGGCCUUUCUAUCCCCGAAGGUGGAGUACACAUCGUAGGUGGCGAACUUGGCGAUGCGUUCAUAGCCUUCAGGUAGCUAUACGAAAACUUCAUAGAUUAUAUAUAUUCAUACAUAAAAGUCUGUAAUAUUUUCUUUGAGUAUUUCACUGAAUAUAUUACAGUGAUCUCUGUUAUGUUAAAUUAAUUUUAAGUGUGUAUACUUUUA